AGUGAACGCUGGCGGUAGGCCUAACACAUGCAAGUCGAACGGCAGCACAGGAGAGCUUGCUCUCUGGGUGGCGAGUGGCGGACGGGUGAGGAAUACAUCGGAAUCUACCUUUUCGUGGGGGAUAACGUAGGGAAACUUACGCUAAUACCGCAUACGACCUACGGGUGAAAGUGGGGGACCGCAAGGCCUCACGCGAUUAGAUGAGCCGAUGUCCGAUUAGCUAGUUGGCGGGGUAAUGGCCCACCAAGGCGACGAUCGGUAGCUGGUCUGAGGGGAUGAUCAGCCACACUGGAACUGAGACACGGUCCAGACUACUACGGGAGGCAGCAGUGGGGAAUAUUGGACAAUGGGCGCAAGCCUGAUCCAGCCAUACCGCGUGGGUGAAGAAGGCCUUCGGGUUGUAAAGCCCUUUUGUUGGGAAAGAAAUCCUAUCGGUUAAUAACCGGUGGGGAUGACGGUACCCAAAGAAUAAGCACCGGCUAACUCCGUGCCAGCCGCCGCAGUAAUAC
rnacentral:rRNA from 1 species